AUUUAAUCGGGGCUGGCUUACAGAUUCUGAGAUUCAAUCCAGUAUCAUCAAGGCAGGAGCAUGGCAGCGUCCAGGCAGGCAUGGUGCAGGAGGAGCUGAGAGUUCUACAUCUUCAUCUGAAGGCUGCUAACGGAAGACUGACCUCCAGGCAGCUAGGGCUAGGGUACUAAAGCCCACACCCACAGUGACACACCUACACCAACAAGGUGUAGUUCCAUUCCUUGGCCCAAGCAUAUACAAACCCCCACAGUCUUCAAACACUUCAGAGAUCUACAGAAUACAGCAUUUAAGUCUUUGUUAUUUUUUUUAAAUAAGGUUUAUCUGACAGUGAGACACAUCAGCUCCUGGCGACACAACCAUUUUAUUUCAAAGGAGAUCACAGACACGAAAGAACUUCCGUAAGGAGCUUGCAUCAAAUGAGGCAAUGUUGCCACUGGGCCAAAAACUGUCCUUGCCUUGACUGCUGACAGCCUGCUCUCCAAACUGUGGACGAGCAGGACACUGGGUAGCCGAUUGACCAACUUCGCUGAGACAAGGAAGGUAGGCUAGUCCUACAUAAUUCCUGCUUCACAGAUAAGUCUGUCAGACGCUCGGAACUUGUAGGCCGACGAAGAUGGGUGACCCAGUGUUACAGAGCGAUCUUUGCGGACUUCCAGGCAGCCAACAGUGCCUGUCACUUCUAUAGUUUUGGAAGCUGCUUGCUCUAUGCUUCCUGUUUACUUGGGUAAAAUUUAUCCUUCACAGACCCCUUCAUCUCACAAAGAAGCUUAAGUUGUUUAGGAUUUAAGAUGUUUUAAGGUCUAAAAAGAUAUGUUUAGGUUGGUAAAUGCAAGUUAUAAUGAUAAAAAAAUGCUUUCGGUAUAGAGCUUUGAACUCACCAAGAUAGGAUAAAUAGUGGAGUACUUUCUCCAAGGUUGCCAGAUACAAAUGGGCUGGACAGUGAGAAUGUAAUUCUUACCUGGUAGUUCUCAUAAUUGUUCUUUUUGUAUGUAGUUCAUUGGUGUUAGAGAAAACAUCAUUUAUUGGACUAAAAAGGGGAGCUGGCACGGUGUAAAGGUUGUCUUUGGAUUAUUCACAUUUGAUUUUUGUACCAGGAAAGAGCUGAGAAUUGGCUGGACUUUGGUAUUGUUAUUUCUAUGGAUCACAGCCUGCCUUAGUAUUUUGGAGACACACACCUCCCUCACAUUCUGAUUGAUUUAAUACAGAUCUGACAGUCAAUUACUGAGGCAGGAAAGGAAAGGCAGGACUUCGUGACAGAGAGAAAGAAUUGGGGGGAAAGAAUUGAGAGAUAGGGGAUUCUCCAGCAUUACUUGGAGGUGGACAGAUGGACAAGAGCAGAGUAGAGGGGUAGACCUGGCCACAUGGUGGGGCAUAGGCCAGGAUUAGGCGGGCUAGAGUAGUUGGGGGAGGGGAGGAAGGCCCAGCUAAGACCUAAGCUUUAAAAUACUAAUAAGCCUCUGUGUCAUUAUUUAUAUAUCUGGUGGGUCUGAAUUAGUCCUGCUAUAAGAUUACAUGAACAAGAGCCAUCCAGUCCCACAUAGCCUUUUUUAAACACUGCUACAUAGACACAGACACAGAAACACACACAUAGACACAGACACACAGAGACACAGAAACACACAGAGACACAGACACACAGACAGAGACACAGAAACACACACACAGACACAGACACACACACAGACACAGAAACACACACAGACACAGACACACAGACACAGAAGCAUGUGUUAACACAUGCACAUUCACACACAUGCAUAUGAUCACCACCCAACAGACAUGUACAUGCAUGGAAACAUGUUUCUAUGCACACACAUUCAGACACAUUCAUAUGCACACAGCAUAUACAUAAAUAUGCACAUCCACACAAGCACAUGAAAACAGGCACACACAUGCACACAUUCAUGCAUACACAUGUAUGCGGGUAGGCAUGUGCAUAUGUAUACACAAGGCACACACACAAACAGGAAUAACAUGCAUAUAAACACAUACACAGGCACAAGGAUGUGCCUUUACAUGAACAUAUGUAGUUGUAGGCACAUAUGAAUAAACAUACACUCACAUGCAUACAAACAAGUAAACACACAUGUACACACACACAUGCAUACACAUAGUGUGACGGUGAUCAUGUUGGCUUCUUUGCUGUCUCCGUGAGGCCCUGAACCACUACAGCCUAUUGUGUAGAUACAUAUAUGUGUGCACCUGCCUGUGAGUGUGCACCUGUGUGUAUGCAUGAAUGUGCACAUUUGCCCCUGUUUUCAAUGUGCUUAUUGGUGUGUAUGUACAUAUUUUAUGCAAGUGCAUGCAUAUAUGCAUGUGCCCGAGCCUUGGUGCCGGCUGUUUUCUGUCUUGAAUGCUUGUCCUGAAUAUCAUCAUGCCUAGUUCACCUCGUGGCUCCUACUGUCCCCUCUUUAAUCUCUAAUGGCUCCACUUACGCUCACUCUGUCCUGUUACUGACUCACCUCUUGGUUUUCAUGAGAACUAAUUCAUCCUCAGGUGUGAUAACAAGUUGCUUCUACUCAAAAACAACUUUUAUUUUUUAGCUUUAAAGAUGAUCCCCGCCACCUCAAAUAGCUAAUGGUGGUUCUGUGCUACUAGUAAGUUUCAGGACUGUCCUGAGCCCCUGAAACUGCACUCCAUACACAACCAUGUUUGGUCUUGGUACAAGCUAAGAGCCCACUCCUGAGUGUGGCAGUCUCAGUGGCGUUUUGGAUUGUGCUCUUGUGCUCGUCCUUGUCACCUCAUUCCCCUCCCCUAUCCACCAUUUUCCCAAGAUAAAUCAGCCAGGUCAGUCAACACAUUUUGAUGAAAAAGAAACAAGUUAGUCUUUUGACUUGACAAAGUACGCCAUUCUAGGGGCAGAGGGGCCGGGGCAGUCAGGAGCAUGUGGAAUUGGUGCUGCAGAGGCCAAGACAAGGCUCCUUUUGUGUUCUGGGACAAAGAUAAAGUGUCCUGGCAAGAUGGGGCCAGGGCCUUUCCAGCGCCAGCUCUGGCAGACCGGAUUGGCUGGCAGUGGUACAGCUCACCCCUAGCGACUGGAUGGCCUGGCUUCUCACUACCUCCUCCUCUCUUGGACGCAAACAAUUGAGAGCUAGUGAGAGGAGUCAUGAAAGUAAGCUGUUUGUCCUUCCUGGCCACCUGGCUUUCACAGGGAUCGGCAUCCUCAGAUCCGGCAGGCCUAGGACUUGUGCGAGCUUUAAUUUGCUGCUUCCGUGGCUUUGGGAGAGAGAAAGCUGGCCUGGGUUCUAGGUCAGGUGACUUUGGACUCUCGGAGCCUCUGGCUACCAUUGGACAGACAGCACAGCUGCAGGGCAAUUCCAGCUGUACAGACUGAGUGACAUGUUGCGGAGUAACAGCAAAGCGCAUGCUGGAUGCAGAGCCGGCGCUUGGGUUUCCGGAUGCCGCUUACAUCUGGUAUCGCAUCUGAUUCUCAAGGUCACCCCUGUGCAGGAGGCAGGGUGCUCAUUCCCACCGAGUUAGAAACCGAAGCUCUGGGGAGGGAUGGCACCAGCGGGGUGUUAGCACAGGUUAGGGUCCUGAGCAGGCGGGAAGAAACCUCCAUCAUGGAAAUAUUGGAGAGCACACUGGGCCACACCGCUAGCCCUGUGUACUGCUCCAGAUGCACUGCUCUGACUGCUGCAGAGAAUGCCCCUUUCCCACCCCCAGGAUUAAAGGUACGUGCCACCACCACCACACCACUGCUGACACCCGGCUCUAUGUGGAAGACUUUGCAGAGGAUGUGUUUGCCUGGAUGGCUUAUCACUAUACAGCUCUUCCCUGAGCACCUACUCUCUCAUUGUCAGACACAGAGGAACAAGAUAGAAGAGGUCCUGGCCUUCUGGAGCUGAUGUUCAAUCCAACACUCUGGGCCAUAGCUGCACAGCAGAAUCACCUAUGCAAACAGUAACCUUUUUUUUUUUUUUUAAUGGCUGUGUCCUAUGCUGGGGCCAUGGGACUUCAAACGGUGAUUCUAGGCGCCAGCUUUGCUGAGAACUGGAGUGUGAGGUUGCGAAGGAAUGAACACCCACCUAGAAAAGGAAAUUGACCUUGAGAAUGGGAUCCAUAAAAAUGGGGUUGCCACAGCCCAGUAAACAUCUCUGGGGUCACUGGUGAGGAGCCUAUAGCUCCCGUUAAAGCUGUUAAGUACACCAUGGGAAAUGAGGGAACAUGGCCGAGGCUGUGGGGGGAGGGGGGAAGAGCGCAAGCUGGGGGGUGAGUGAGCUGGAGUGGGCAACGCAUUAUAAGGCUGCAUAUUCCUGGGAAGUCACAGGUGGGCCAGAAGGCCCAGAGAUGGCAAUGGUUCCCCAGAACCUGCAGGAGUUCACACUGCCUUGAAGCCCAACCCGUUUUACCCUGAAACCCAGAUGGUGAGGAAGACCUAAGUCACUGUAUUUAAGGCUGACACCAGGUCUCCUCCUACCUACCCUGCCCCUAAAGCAGUCCCAGCUCACAGAAGCCUGGAGCAUUGGGUAAGGAGCUGGGAGGAGUAAGCAGGGAAGUCAAGGACUUUAGAAAGGCUAUCCUUGCUGUAAAGUUCGGCAGCUGGGUGUAUCUGACUGGACCUUUGAGAGGCCUGCAACUGGAGAGGGCUCUAGCCUCACAGCCAUGGGGUACAGGGCCACACACUUUUGUGAAUAGUCUGUAAGGAAACCAUGAGCUCUGACACGGCUAGGAUUCUGCUCCACCCUAUCCAAUCAGAUCCAGAGUCACUGAUCCUAAAGGGGUACUUUAGAAAAGUGUUUCAGUGAGUGGCGGUAGGGUUGUGUUCAAAUAAUGCAGACCUCAUUCAUUUCCUUUAUUACGAGCCUAGAUGCUGUGUUCCAAUGUAUUACGAUACUGUACUAAGAUGCUGGGUCAUGCUAUAUGCUAGGAUAGGUUGCCUUGGAGUUUUAGAUUGGAAUGUUGCUAAGAAUUGUGCUUUAAGAUGUUGAAUUAAAAUAUAAAUUAAAUUAAAAUAUAAA